rnacentral:lncRNA from 1 species
ACUCCCUAGAGAAGCUGGGAUCGACUAGGAAACCGCAGGCAGCGGCUCCCGGGGGCGAGAGCUUUGUUCACGUGCGUUUCCAGUGGGUGUGUUGCUGUCUAGGGGCACUCGCGUGGCAAGACGCCCGUGGCUGGCUUCCAGCGCCCAAGAUUCAAGGAAGGGAAGGAGCCCUAGCGUUUCAUCCGGACCAGACCCAGCCCUCGGAGUCUAUUUUUUGCCUCCAGUUACCGGAUUUAUUGAAGUUGCCAGCGAAGUUGGUUUUAUUCCUUUACUUCUCUGCUCUCCGCCCCCGUCCACAUCCCCCAACCCUGUAUUAUUUCCUGUCCUAGCUGCGCUUUAAAGAUUCGGAACUUUUCACUCGUUCUAGCUACAGAUUUUAACUGUGUUCCGUGUGCGAGACGAAUUGUGGAGGGCACCCACCCACCCAUGCCAAGUGUAAAUGAAACCGCAAGAAAAGCUGCCUCCCACUCACCCAUCCAGUGUCCGAGUAAGCCUAAUGACACACAUUCACAUAACUAAGAAGACACGGGAAGAUAGGGGUGCGGAGGACGGAGUUUGAUGUGUGAAUGGGAAAUGGAGAGAGGGGACAGCGCGCGCGAGAGAAACAGCGCGAGCCUGAGCCUUAGAAUGGAAUAAACGGGAAACACACACAAGAAUGACGAUGCAAAAAAUGUAUCUAAGUCCCAACAUUGACAGCAGAGGGUCAGCUUUAAGCGCCUACAUUUUGAUCCGCGAAAUUUCCCAGCUUUUUUGGAGGCGGUUACAUAGAGAACACAGGAGCCUCUGCCUUGGCCGCCCAGAUGCUUUGCAUUUUGUAAACAGCUUUGACUAAGUGCUCUGGACUUCCAAGAAGUUAACUGGAGUGGAAGGCGAGUCAUAUUGUGGAUGCGGAAUGGAAGCUUAGACAAGAAAAAACUGUCAGCAGAGCGCCUCUGCUCUCACCGUCACACCCAAAUGAGCCAGGACGUCGCUCAGAGCGCAAACUGAGAUCCACACAGGGACAUCUUCAACCGAAUCUUUCUUCUGUCUCCAUUCCGGACUAAGGAAAGAAAGAAAGAAAUACGGAGCCUUUAUAGAGUAUUCAGAGGCUACACACAUGGAUCUUGCUGAAACGGAGUUAUUUAAAAACAGAGAAAGUGUGUUUUCCCAUGAGAUAGAUGUUAUAGUUUCUCUCUGAAACAUACCCAAGUCUAUGGGUGUCAAUAAUAGCCAUUUCAAAUGCCUCUCUGAGCCUUGCCAGCCCCAGAAGAGGCUGUGGGAAUGCUGCUUCCAGCUUCCCCUGUGCAGAACUCCGUUGUAAAUCCUUCUGAGUUUCCAAGGUGGCAGCAGAGCAUAGGGAUAGCUCCUCAAGCUCCAGCAUCAACAAGGAAGAUCACAUUUUAGGACAAAUACUCAUCUACCUGCAUUUAAACAUCCAUUUUCGUAUGUUACAAGAUGAUUAUGCGUGAACAAAAACAGAAGGUACAUACUGGCAGGAAACAAAAGCACGUUAAACCAUGGAGAUUUCCUCUUACAUAAACCUGCCAUUUGUUAAGCAGUUGCUGUCUGUUCCACAGGGAAGCUGGCAAAAACUUGAUACAAACAUUCUCCAACUGCACUGGGAGGAAUAAGUGAAGGUAACACCUUUUUAAGAAGGGCAUACAAAGAGAUAAAAGAUCUACCUAGGGACUUACUCAAACCUAGAUGCUACCAUUGUACAAAAUGUUACCAAGUCUACCUAUAUCUAACUAUAGUUCUGAUAAAGAGGGAAGUGAUGUUUUAAUUUGGGAAAACACACUUAAUCAAACAUGUAAAUGAGAUU